rnacentral:snoRNA from 1 species
AUACCAUCAUGAGAAUAUUUCCUAAACAACUCCUUGAAUCUUUCUCAAGCAUCAUAGAAGCUUUCAUCGUUAAGUUAAUGGAAAAAUGUGAUCUCAUCCUCAACUUU